CAACCCUCAAGCAUUGCUUGGUGUUGGGGCACUGCCUGUGAAAGGGCAGGCCCUGAAAUCUAGUGGCGAGCUCGCCAGGACCCCGAGCGCAGUAGUUAAACCCUCGCUCUGGAAGGCCCUGGCGGUGCCCUGCCGUUAAACCCCCAACUUUUGAAA
rnacentral:misc_RNA from 1 species